ACUCUAAGCGGUGGAUCACUCGGCUCAUGGGUCGAUGAAGAACGCAGCAAACUGUGCGUCAUCGUGUGAACUGCAGGACACAUGAACAUCGACAUUUUGAACGCAUAUCGCAGUCCAUGCUGUUAUGUACUUUAAUUAAUUUUAUAGUGCUGCUUGGACUACAUAUGGUUGAGGGUUGUAAGACUAUGCUAAUUAAGUUGCUUAUAAAUUUUUAUAAGCAUAUGGUAUAUUAUUGGAUAAAUAUAAUAAUUUUUAUUCAUAAUAUUAAAAAAUAAAUGAAAAACAUUAUCUCACAUUUGAAUGUGAAAAACGAAGAGAAAUAUUUUCUUUUUCAAUCAAAUAAUACUGAGAAAUGUCUAGCAUAAAAAAUUGAAAUAUUUUUCAUCUAGAAUUGUCUCUUAUUAAUGAUUCGGAAAUAGAAAAAUCUUGGUUAUGUUAUUAUUCUUCGUUGGUUCGUUAAAAAUGGAUAAAUAAAAACUUUGCAUACAAGAAUUAAUAAAAAUGUUAUAACGAAUUUAAUUAAAUGUUUUAUCAUUAUAUAUAAAGAAUUUAUGGCAAGAUAAAGUUAUAUACAACCUCAACUCAUAUGGGACUACCCCCUGAAUUUAAGCAUAUUAAUUAGGGGAGGAAAAGAAACUAACAAGGAUUUUCUUAGUAGCGGCGAGCGAAAAGAAAACAGUUCAGCACUAAGUCACUUUGUCUAUAUGGCAAAUGUGAGAUGCAGUGUAUGGAGCGUCAAUAUUCUAGUAUGAGAAAUUAACGAUUUAAGUCCUUCUUAAAUGAGGCCAUUUACCCAUAGAGGGUGCCAGGCCCGUAUAACGUUAAUGAUUACUAGAUGAUGUUUCCAAAGAGUCGUGUUGCUUGAUAGUGCAGCACUAAGUGGGUGGUAAACUCCAUCUAAAACUAAAUAUAACCAUGAGACCGAUAGUAAACAAGUACCGUGAGGGAAAGUUGAAAAGAACUCUGAAUAGAGAGUUAAACAGUACGUGAAACUGCUUAGAGGUUAAGCCCGAUGAACCUGAAUAUCCGUUAUGGAAAAUUCAUCAUUAAAAUUGUAAUAUUUAAAUAAUAUUAUGAGAAUAGUGUGCAUUUUUUCCAUAUAAGGACAUUGUAAUCUAUUAGCAUAUACCAAAUUUAUCAUAAAAUAUAACUUAUAGUUUAUUCCAAUUAAAUUGCUUGCAUUUUAACACAGAAUAAAUGUUAUUAAUUUGAUAAAGUGCUGAUAGAUUUAUAUGAUUACAGUGCGUUAAUUUUUCGGAAUUAUAUAAUGGCAUAAUUAUCAUUGAUUUUUGUGUUUAUUAUAUGCACUUGUAUGAUUAACAAUGCGAAAGAUUCAGGAUACCUUCGGGACCCGUCUUGAAACACGGACCAAGGAGUCUAACAUAUGUGCAAGUUAUUGGGAUAUAAACCUAAUAGCGUAAUUAACUUGACUAAUAAUGGGAUUAGUUUUUUAGCUAUUUAUAGCUAAUUAACACAAUCCCGGGGCGUUCUAUAUAGUUAUGUAUAAUGUAUAUUUAUAUUAUUUAUGCCUCUAACUGGAACGUACCUUGAGCAUAUAUGCUGUGACCCGAAAGAUGGUGAACUAUACUUGAUCAGGUUGAAGUCAGGGGAAACCCUGAUGGAAGACCGAAACAGUUCUGACGUGCAAAUCGAUUGUCAGAAUUGAGUAUAGGGGCGAAAGACCAAUCGAACCAUCUAGUAGCUGGUUCCUUCCGAAGUUUCCCUCAGGAUAGCUGGUGCAUUUUAAUAUUAUAUAAAAUAAUCUUAUCUGGUAAAGCGAAUGAUUAGAGGCCUUAGGGUCGAAACGAUCUUAACCUAUUCUCAAACUUUAAAUGGGUAAGAACCUUAACUUUCUUGAUAUGAAGUUCAAGGUUAUGAUAUAAUGUGCCCAGUGGGCCACUUUUGGUAAGCAGAACUGGCGCUGUGGGAUGAACCAAACGUAAUGUUACGGUGCCCAAAUUAACAACUCAUGCAGAUACCAUGAAAGGCGUUGGUUGCUUAAAACAGCAGGACGGUGAUCAUGGAAGUCGAAAUCCGCUAAGGAGUGUGUAACAACUCACCUGCCGAAGCAACUAGCCCUUAAAAUGGAUGGCGCUUAAGUUGUAUACCUAUACAUUACCGCUAAAGUAGAUGAUUUAUAUUACUUGUGAUAUAAAUUUUGAAACUUUAGUGAGUAGGAAGGUACAAUGGUAUGCGUAGAAGUGUUUGGCGUAAGCCUGCAUGGAGCUGCCAUUGGUACAGAUCUUGGUGGUAGUAGCAAAUAAUCGAAUGAGACCUUGGAGGACUGAAGUGGAGAAGGGUUUCGUGUGAACAGUGGUUGAUCACGAGUUAGUCGGUCCUAAGUUCAAGGCGAAAGCCGAAAAUUUUCAAGUAAAACAAAAAUGCCUAACUAUAUAAACAAAGCGAAUUAUAAUACACUUGAAUAAUUUUGAACGAAAGGGAAUACGGUUCCAAUUCCGUAACCUGUUGAGUAUCCGUUUGUUAUUAAAUAUGGGCCUCGUGCUCAUCCUGGCAACAGGAACGACCAUAAAGAAGCCGUCGAGAGAUAUCGGAAGAGUUUUCUUUUCUGUUUUAUAGCCGUACUACCAUGGAAGUCUUUCGCAGAGAGAUAUGGUAGAUGGGCUAGAAGAGCAUGACAUAUACUGUUGUGUCGAUAUUUUCUCCUCGGACCUUGAAAAUUUAUGGUGGGGACACGCAAACUUCUCAACAGGCCGUACCAAUAUCCGCAGCUGGUCUCCAAGGUGAAGAGUCUCUAGUCGAUAGAAUAAUGUAGGUAAGGGAAGUCGGCAAAUUAGAUCCGUAACUUCGGGAUAAGGAUUGGCUCUGAAGAUUGAGAUAGUCGGGCUUGAUUGGGAAACAAUAACAUGGUUUAUGUGCUCGUUCUGGGUAAAUAGAGUUUCUAGCAUUUAUGUUAGUUACUUGUUCCCCGGAUAGUUUAGUUACGUAGCCAAUUGUGGAACUUUCUUGCUAAAAUUUUUAAGAAUACUAUUUGGGUUAAACCAAUUAGUUCUUAUUAAUUAUAACGAUUAUCAAUUAACAAUCAAUUCAGAACUGGCACGGACUUGGGGAAUCCGACUGUCUAAUUAAAACAAAGCAUUGUGAUGGCCCUAGCGGGUGUUGACACAAUGUGAUUUCUGCCCAGUGCUCUGAAUGUCAAAGUGAAGAAAUUCAAGUAAGCGCGGGUCAACGGCGUGAGUAACUUAUGAUUUUAUGUGCGAAGAUGGCUAAAUCUUCCGCUGGAUGUGCCGAUAGCAUUUGUUCAUGCACCCCCAAAAAGUGGAGGUCUCGGAAUUCCAUCACUAAGAUGGGUAGCUCCAAUGUUAAGGCUAAGACGCUUGAGUAACAUUAAAUGGCCUCACCUCACGCAAAACGAGGUAGCCAGCUCUUUCCUCGAAGCCGAAAAACAACGGGCCCGAGAUAGAUUAUUAGCUGAACAAAAUGAACUGUUAUCGCGUCCGGCAAUAGAAAAAUAUUGGGCGAACAAGUUGUACCUCUCAGUUGAUGGUAGCGGACUCCGUGAAGCGGGCCAUUAUGGCCCGCAACACGGGUGGGUUAGUCAACCCACGCGUUUAUUAACAGGAAAGGAAUAUAUAGACGGUAUUCGUCUGCGGAUAAAUGCCCUACCCACAAAGUCUCGUACUACAAGGGGAAGGCACGAAUUGGAACGACAGUGUCGUGCAGGAUGUGAUGCUCCCGAAACAACAAACCACAUAAUGCAAAAAUGCUACCGCUCGCAUGGGAGGCGGGUAGCUAGACACAACUGCGUAGUAAAUCGAAUCAAGCGGGGACUUGAGGAGAGAGGCUGCGUGGUCAUUGUUGAACCAAGUCUGCAGUGCGAAUCCGGCCUUAAUAAACCAGACCUGGUGGCACUACGACAAAAUCACAUUGAUGUGAUCGACAUACAAAUUGU
rnacentral:rRNA from 1 species